CGGCGUAGCUUAACACAUGCAAGUCGAACGGAGCACCCUGAAGGAGUUUUCGGACAACUGAGGGAAGUGCUUAGUGGCGGACGGGUGAGUAACGCGUGAGUACCUGCCUUGGAUGGGAAUAACAUUGGAACAGCUGCUAAUACCGCAUAUAUGUCUGUGUCGCAUGGCACUGGGCAUCAAAGAUUUAUCGCUCUGAGAUGGACUCGCGUCUGAUUAGCUAGUUGCGGGUAACGGCCCACCAAGGCGACGAUCAGUAGCCGGACUGAGAGGUUGGCCGGCCACAUUGGGACUGAGACACGGCCCAGACUCCUACGGGAGGCAGCAGUGGGGAAUAUUGGGCAAUGGGCGCAGGCCUGACCCAGCAACGCCGCGUGAAGGAAGAAGGCUUUCGGGUUGUAAACUUCUUUUCUCAGGGACGAAGCAAGUGACGGUACCUGAGGAAUAAGCCACGGCUAACUACGUG
rnacentral:rRNA from 1 species